UACGAAGGGGGCUAGCGUUGCUCGGAAUCACUGGGCGUAAAGCGCACGUAGGCGGAUUCGUAAGUCAGGGGUGAAAUCCCGGGGCUCAACCUCGGAACUGCCUUUGAUACUGCGGGUCUUGAGUCCGAUAGAGGUGGGUGGAAUUCCUAGUGUAGAGGUGAAAUUCGUAGAUAUUAGGAAGAACACCGGUGGCGAAGGCGGCCCACUGGAUCGGUACUGACGCUGAGGUGCGAAAGCGUGGGGAGCAAACAGG
rnacentral:rRNA from 1 species